rnacentral:rRNA from 1 species
GACGAAGGUGGCGAGCGUUACUCGGAAUUACUAGGCGUAAAGCGUGGGCAGGCGGUUCGGUAAGUCUGCUGUGAAAGCUCCCGGCUUAACCGGGAGAGGCCAGUGGAAACUACCGGACUUGAAUCGGGGAGGGGUGGCUGGAAUUCCUGGUGUAGCGGUGAAAUGCGUAGAGAUCAGGAGGAACACCGAUGGCGAAAGCAGGCCACUGGACCCGUAUUGACGCUCAUCCACGAAAGCUGGGGGAU